rnacentral:rRNA from 1 species
AACGAACGCUGGCGGCAGGCUUAACGCAUGCAAGUCGAACGCCCCGCACGGGGUGUGGCGCACAGGUGAGUAACGCGUGGAUAUCUGCCUUUUUGUUCGGAAUAACCCCGGGAAACUGUGGCUAAUACCGGAUGGUUCCUACGGGAUAAAGAUUUAUCGCCAAAAGAUGAGUCCGCGUACGAUUAGCUAGUUGGUGAGGUAAUGGCUCACCAAGGCGACGAUCGUUAGCUGGUCUGAGAGGACGAUCAGCCACACUGGGACUGAGACACGGCCCAGACUCCUACGGGAGGCAGCAGUGGGGAAUAUUGGACAAUGGGGGCAACCCUGAUCCAGCCAUGCCGCGUGAGUGAUGAAGGCCUUCGGGUUGUAAAGCUCUUUUGGCGGGGACGAUGAUGACGGUACCCGCAGAAUAAGCCCCGGCUAACUUCGUG